rnacentral:lncRNA from 1 species
CUUCCUGGUCAUAAUUUUUUCUUUUAUUACUUGUUCAAUAUUAUUCAGUUUCUAAUGUGCAUUGAAUAUUUCACACAGGGUGCUCUCCUCAACCCCAACAAAGUUCUGAAGGAGACGAAGCCACCAGCGUAUCCCUGCACUCAGCACUUCAGAUCCGCUCCUCCACUGUCCCAUCAGCCAAUGCGGCAGUAUUUCCAGCCAGAGGCACAGCAUCAGUCAAUCCCAGAGAUGGAACAAUGGAGUCAAGAUGAACACCAGUCACAACACCACCACACUCACAAACACAGUCAGCCCCUGCAGCAUCAUUCACAACCGCACGCUAAAUAUCAUCAACAGUUACUGUAUCAUUCCCAGACUCGCCAACCACACAUCUCACAGCAAACGGUUUCCCAGCAGCAGCAGCAUCAACUGUACACACAGUUCCAGCCUCAUCAGAUACCAACCGCACGCUAAAUAUCAUCAACAGUUACUGUAUCAUUCCCAGACUCGCCAACCACACAUCUCACAGCAAACGGUUUCCCAGCAGCAGCAGCAGCAUCAACUGUACACACAGUUCCAGCCUCAUCAGAUACCAGAGAAGCAGUACCAGUGUCCGGGCCAGUGGCAGAUGCCAUGCCAAGAGGGCCAAUACCAAAAGCAACAGCUACAUCAACCUGUAACUUUCCCUUCUCUAGGUCAGGAGAAAAACUGGAAUCAUGUAACAGGCCCACAUGGCUUGCAACAUGCACAAAUGAAACGUAGAUACUGUAUGCAGAUGCCAGAAGAACCAAAACUACUAUCUAAGGUCACUGUCCAGGAGACUCACGGAAAGGGAUCGAAGGUCCCUCAUUAUAAGGAAAGUGAAGUUACUGAAGCAAAUCCGGGUUUACAGGAUAAAAGUUUUAAACUGAACAAGGAAUCAUAUGUUGGCUUACAUCUUACCCCUAGUCAGGCAAAGGCCCUUUCCCAGCAGCUUGGAGUGCUUCAAACGGAUGCAGUAGAUGGCAGUAGAGUGUCAGAUCUGAACUGUGAACCUGCAGAAAGCAAGGAACUGCUAGCACAGAAUCAAAGCUACAGUGCUGGAGAGACACAAAAUAUGUUCAACAUCAACUUAUCUGACCCUUCAUCCUGGCUGGACCAGGACAUAUCAAGUCUGCCGGACUCUGUUUUGGAGUUUGAUUUAGAAACGUUCGGUCUGGACAGUAACUUAGGUUGGCCAUGAAUGUAUCAUAAUAGUGAACCAAAAUGAACAUGUGUGUUGUUAUGACACAUUCAUUUGGACAAGUGCACUAUUAAGAGAAUAUUUUUGCCAAUGGAAUUGAAAAAUAAUUUUAGAGUCAAAUAGAAGGUAAACUAUUAAUUGGCUAAAAGGUUCUAUAAGGGAACAAACAGGAAAUAAUUUUUUAAUAAAUAGUUUUGCACACAGAGGUCCUAAAUAGCAGGUCUAUGUGCCUUAAUAUGCAUUUUUGGUUAUAUUUGAUUAUAAAUAGAAUAAAUAGAUUGUUUAUGUACAGAUACAUGAGGUGAAGUCAUGUGUGAGUUGUUUAGGAAAUGUAUAUUUUCACAUUUCAUAGCAUAGAAUAACUGGUAUAAUGUGUAAAUGUAAGAAAAUAUGGCUAGUUUAGGGCCUAAAUUAACUUCUUUAAUUCAUCAAAAUGUUGUCUUGAUGGCAAAAGAGUAAACAUUUUUAACAUUUUACUUUUUAACAUAUAGAUCAAAACUAAUUAUGUAUAAUUAGUUAUGCAUGGAUUUAUAGAUUCCAUAUCCAUUUGUUUGCAUGUUAUAGUGUGACUGACCGUUGACAGACGCCUGCCUUUGAAUUUCUAUAUCAUCAUUUUGUUGCAGUUUCAUCUUUCAUAGAUAUUCAAAAUGCAGUUUUAUUAUAUUUUCAUAUUAAUUUUGCUUUGUCACUCUCUGGUAGAGGUCAUGUUGUUUUUUAGUAUUUGUCUUCAAUGUGAAAUCAAAAAUAUUUUCACAGUAUGCAUAUUAGAAUACAUUUACAUUUCUGACAGCAUUAAUAACAUAAUAUGAACAAAAACACCAUCUGUAAAUUCCAGAAGUAUUACAAUUAAAAAGUGGACUAAUACCUCUAAGCGUAAUUAUUUCAGAUAUUGUUACUAUAACGUUUAGGACUGAUUUACUAGUUUACACCAGGCCCAGCCUCACAGUAAAGCCAUAUUGGUUGCACAUUAUUUUACAGUAUGUUAACUUACAGUGUGCUUACAGUGUACCUACCUAAGAAAGUACCAGUAAUAUAAGGUAACUACAUGGGGUAGAGUUAGGUUCAGGGUUAGUACCUAGUUAUUGUAAUAGUUCAUAGUAUGUACAUGAGUAACAGGACUGUAAAAUAAAUGGCUAUCACCAUAUUUAUUAUGUCUU